GGGAGGCCCUCGGAGCAUAAUUGCAGUUGUCUUUGCAAAGUGAAAUCAGAUGGUUUUUCCAAACCUCCCCCAACCCCUGCCUCCUCCACUCCCUCUCUCUCUCUCUCUCUUUUUUUCAUUAUGUUCCUUGGACCAUGUCCAGAUGUUUCCUGCAACAACAACCCUCCAAAAAUUCACAAAAAGAGAGCAAGAGCGUGCAGCUUCCUGCCGGCCGGGUGGAAGUGGAGACGUGGCGGGGCGGGGGCGGCCGGCCACGUCUGCAGGCCAGGGAGGCGGCGGGCCCCAGUCCGGUCCGAGCCCUCUGCCGCCUCCACGCCCCGGGGAUGGACCCUGGGAGGACACGGUCUGGGGCCACAGGGCCUUAAGGAUGGUCCCUCUCCCCAGAUGCCAGGGUCCUGGCCACACUGGGGGCCCAGGGGAGGCCGUGGCCCGGGAAAGAGCAGGGCAGACCUUCAGGACCAGGCUUUGGGCUCAGACUGGCCUGCUGGGGCUCCCAGCCCCGCGGCUGAGGCAUGCGGCCACGGGGAAGCCACGUCUCCACGCGGAGCCUCUGUUUCCGUGCAAUAGAGCUCAUGUUGGGAGCUUUCGUUAAAAGCGGCCUCUGUCCAGUGCUGGCGCCAGGGAGCACCUCAUCGAGACCGACUCACCUGGAGGCAGGUGGAGUCUGGACUUGACAGGAGCACUGUUCACGUGGCCACGCUGCUGGACCCUGCUCCAGCCCACCCAGCCCCCCGACCCUGGAGGAACGCACGGGAUCCCUUCUGCCGUGGAAGACAUGCUUCCGGACUCCCCACCUGUAACACAUAAAUAAGGUUUCGGAAGGUUCUCAAGCGCAGCAGUGGGACCAGGCCGUACUGUCCAGCAGCUUAGCCAACACAGCUCGAGGUUUGUGGGCGACCUGCCAGUAGCUGAGCUCCUACACCGUGGCGUUUGUACCUGGACGAUGGGAACACAUCAACACGGGCUCACGGGCAGAAAUCAGAGGCUUUAAACCUGGGGUCCCUUCAGGACCGCCUGCUGGGGAGCUCAUCAAAGGUCCUUGAUUUCUUUACACUGUUGAUCUUCCUGAGCCCUACCCGGGGUACCAGGGAUGAAUUAGAAGAUUUUGUGCCCCGAGAACUCCUAUUCAUCCUUCAGUGCCCAUCUCAGAGGGGAAGCCAUCCGGCCCCUCCCCCACCGGUUACUGUCUCCUCUGUGUUCCCGAAGCACCUUGAAUGUGCCCUCCUCCUGACACAGCUCAGCCCACAUGUGCUGUCUGCAUGCAGCCCUGUGAGAAUGUUCUGGACUUUCACUGUCCAGUAUACCAGCUACGAGCCACAUGUGACAUCGGGGAGCUUGGAACACGGCUCGCACAAAUGGAGACGUGCUGCAAGUGUAAAUAUAUACCAUAUCUCAAGGGCUGUGUGCCAACAACCAAAUGAAAAAUAGCUCAUUAGUAAUUUUUAUAUUGCUUGCAUAUUGAAGCCAUUAUCAUUCACCAUAUUGGGUUAAAUAAAAAUAUAAUAUCAAAAUUCACGUGGUUCUUGAUGUGACUGCUAGAACGUCUGUAAUCCCACAUGUGGCCCGCGUCGC